rnacentral:lncRNA from 1 species
CUUCCUUCCCCUGAUUCUCAUGAGAAUCUGAUCUUCGCUAAAGUGGGCAAGGUCCUGGAUCAGAAGAUGCCUGACAAGAGGCCACUAUCAGCAGCAACAGCACAGUGGGGACAAACCUGAGACCUUGAUGGACCGUGGACACCAGCAGGAGAGACAGAGGAACUUGAAGUCUAAAUGGGCAGACAAGACCAACAUACACAAAGCAGAGAGUGGCACAAGAGCCAUGUCUGAUGCAACAGUGACUCAGGAGGAUCACUCUGACUCAGAAUGGCCAAGCAAAGGUUAGCGUGUUAAGUCUCUGAAGCUGAUUAACGGCUUAACUCAAGUUUUCGCACCUGCAGACCAGUGACCCCCCACCGCCGCCCCCCCGCAAGGCAUCUGUUUGACGUCUCUUUAAUUUUAUUAGUGGCUUAUGGACAAAAUCACUUGACUUAACCUUUUUCAAGUGUAAGUUAUUUGGAUUCACAAGAGCAUUU